rnacentral:lncRNA from 1 species
ACACAUGAUAAAUGACUCAAACCAAAUCUAUAGCAAACUUCAAAGGGUCUAGAAUCAAUGUGCAAAAUUUCAGGUUCAUAUGAUAAACACCAAGCAUUUCACAAAUCAUCUAAGUGCAUGACUAUCCAAAAGUCCAAACAUGACCAAUCAGCAAAGAAAAUCCCAAACAAAUUGGAAAUGCACUAAAAAAUUCUACAAAAAUUCAUGAUCAAACUUAACAUCCAGAAGUAGCAUCAUAAAAAAAAUCACAUCAAUUGAAAUUGAAUUGGCAUGGCAAAU